GAUGAAGAACGUAGCGAAAUGCGAUACGUAAUGUGAAUUGCAGAAUUCAGUGAAUCAUCGAAUCUUUGAACGCAUAUUGCGCUCUCUGGUAUUCCGGAGAGCAUGCUUGUUUGAGUAUCAGUAAACACCUCAACUUCCAUAUCUUUUUUGAAAUGGGAGUUGGACUUGAGUGAUCCCAACGCUUUUCCUCACCGAAAAGUGGCGGGUUACUUGAAAUGCAGGUGCAGCUGGACUUUUCUCUGAGCUAUAAGCAUAUCUAAUUAGUCUGCCUAAAAAACAGAUUAUUACCUUUGCUGCAGCUAACAUAAAGGAGAUUAGUUCUUGUGCUGACUGAUGCAGGAUUCACAAAAACGGCUUCGGCCGACUUUGUAAACUCGAUCUCAAAUCAAGUAAGACUACCCGCUGAACUUAAGCAUAUCAAUAAGCGGAGGA
rnacentral:misc_RNA from 1 species